UACGUAGGCAGCGAGCGUUGUUCGGAGUUACUGGGCGUAAAGAGCUCGUAGGCGGUCUGUUACGUCUGCUGUGAAAACCCAGGGCUUAACCCUGGGCUUGCAGUGGAUACGGGCAGACUAGAGGCAGGUAGGGGAGAAUGGAAUUCCCGGUGUAGCGGUGAAAAUGCGCAGAUAUCGGGAGGAACACCCGUGGCGAAGGCGGCUCUCUGGAACGCAACUGACGCUGAGACGCGAAAGCGUGGGGAGCAAACAGG
rnacentral:rRNA from 1 species